rnacentral:rRNA from 1 species
UACGUAGGGUGCAAGCGUUAAUCGGAAUUACUGGGCGUAAAGCGUGCGCAGGCGGCUUUGCAAGACAGAUGUGAAAUCCCCGGGCUCAACCUGGGAACUGCAUUUGUGACUGCAUGGCUAGAGUGCGGCAGAGGGGGAUAGAAUUCCGCGUGUAGCAGUGAAAUGCGUAGAUAUGCGGAGGAACACCGAUGGCGAAGGCAAUCCCCUGGGCCUGCACUGACGCUCAUGCACGAAAGCGUGGGGAGCAAACAGG